UACGGGGGGAGCAAGCGUUGUUCGGAUUUACUGGGCGUAAGGGCGCGAGUAGGCGGCCACUGCAAGUCGGUUGUGAAAUCUCCGGGCUUAACCCGGAAAGGUCAAUCGAUACUGCAGGGCUAGAGUGCAGAAGGGCAACUGGAAGUUCUCGGAUGUAGCGGUGAAAUGACGUAGAUAUCGAGAGGAACACCUGCGGCGAAGGCGGGUUGCUGGGCUGACACUGACGCUGAAGCGCGAAAGCUAGGGGAGCGAACGGG
rnacentral:rRNA from 1 species